GUCUACGGCCAUGCCACCCUGAACAAGCCCAAUCCCGUCUGAUCUCGGAAGCUAAGCAGGGUCGGACCUGGUUAGUACUUAGAUGGGAAACCACCUAGGAAGACCAGGUGCUGUAGGCA
rnacentral:rRNA from 1 species